rnacentral:rRNA from 1 species
UGGGGAAUUUUGGACAAUGGGGGAAACCCUGAUCCAGCCAUCCCGCGUGUGCGAUGAAGGCCUUCGGGUUGUAAAGCACUUUUGGCAGGAAAGAAACGUCGCGGGUUAAUACCCCGCGAAACUGACGGUACCUGCAGAAUAAGCACCGGCUAACUACGUGCCAGCAGCCGCGGUAAUACGUAGGGUGCAAGCGUUAAUCGGAAUUACUGGGCGUAAAGCGUGCGCAGGCGGUUCGGAAAGAAAGAUGUGAAAUCCCAGAGCUUAACUUUGGAACUGCAUUUUUAACUACCGGGCUAGAGUGUGUCAGAGGGAGGUGGAAUUCCGCGUGUAGCAGUGAAAUGCGUAGAUAUGCGGAGGAACACCGAUGGCGAAGGCAGCCUCCUGGGAUAACACUGACGCUCAUGCACGAAAGCGUGGGGAGCAAACAGGAUUAGAUACCCUGGUAGUCCACGCCCUAAACGAUGUCAACUAGCUGUUGGGGCCUUCGGGCCUUGGUAGCGCAGCUAACGCGUGAAGUUGACCGCCUGGGGAGUACGGUCGCAAGAUUAAAACUCAAAUGAAUUGACGGGG